ACUGAAGUCUGUCCUUAUGGAGCA
rnacentral:siRNA from 1 species